UACGUAGGGGGCAAGCGUUAUCCGGAUUUACUGGGUGUAAAGGGAGCGUAGACGGCGGGGCAAGUCUGGAGUGAAAGGCCGGGGCCCAACCCCGGGACCGCUCUGGAAACUGCCCGGCUGGAGUGCAGGAGAGGUAAGCGGAAUUCCUGGUGUAGCGGUGAAAUGCGUAGAUAUCAGGAGGAACACCGGCGGCGAAGGCGGCUUACUGGACUGUAACUGACGUUGAGGCUCGAAGGCGUGGGGAGCAAACAGG
rnacentral:rRNA from 1 species